CAUUCACGGAGAGUUUGAUCCUGGCUCAGGACGAACGCUGGCGGCGUGCUUAACACAUGCAAGUCGAACGAUGAAGCCCUUCGGGGUGGAUUAGUGGCGAACGGGUGAGUAACACGUGGGCAAUCUGCCCUUCACUCUGGGACAAGCCCUGGAAACGGGGUCUAAUACCGGAUAACACUCCCGCACUCCUGUG
rnacentral:rRNA from 1 species